rfam:Pseudomonas resinovorans NBRC 106553 DNA, complete geonome.
AUAAGUGUAGGGUGGAGAUGCACAAUCGUCGGACUGCGUAGUUUCAAGACGCUUCAUUUCGUCCGCUACCGACCAUUGAUUCCUCCUCCUGACAAAGUGCUUCUGUCACGACAGCAAGCAGGAGACGUAGUCGCGAUCCUGGCCCCACUGGCUGGGGCUCGCUAGACACUGGGGUGGCCUGCCGCCCCUGACACGCACCUGACACCGACCGCGAGAGUCGUGUGCGCCAAUCGCCGUUUCCGGAAGCCCGGAAACCCA